GUGGGGAAUUUUGGACAAUGGGCGCAAGCCUGAUCCAGCAAUGCCGCGUGCAGGAAGAAGGCCUUCGGGUUGUAAACUGCUUUUGUACGGAACGAAACGGUCCUGGUUAAUACCUGGGGCUAAUGACGGUACCGUAAGAAUAAGCACCGGCUAACUACGUGCCAGCAGCCGCGGUAAUACGUAGGGUGCGAGCGUUAAUCGGAAUUACUGGGCGUAAAGCGUGCGCAGGCGGUGCUGUAAGACGGGCGUGAAAUCCCCGGGCUCAACCUGGGAAUUGCGCUUGUGACUGCAGUGCUGGAGUACGGCAGAGGGGGAUGGAAUUCCGCGUGUAGCAGUGAAAUGCGUAGAUAUGCGGAGGAACACCGAUGGCGAAGGCAGUCCCCUGGGCCUGUACUGACGCUCAUGCACGAAAGCGUGGGGAGCAAACAGGAUUAGAAACCCGAGUAGUCC
rnacentral:rRNA from 1 species